GGGCAGUAUGGGCAUUUUCAUGAUAUUGAUUCUUCCUAUCCAUGAGAAUGGAAUGUUUUUCCAUUUGUUUGUGUCCUCUCUUAUUCCUUGAGCAGUGGUUUGUAGUUUUCCUUGAAGAGGUCCUUCACAUCCCUUGUUAGCUGUGUUCCUAGGUAUUUUAUUCUCUUUGUAGCGAUUGUGAAUGGGAGUUCAUUCAUGAUUUGGCUCUCUGCUUGCCUAUUGUUAGUGUAAAGGAAUACUUGUGUUUUUGCACAUUGAUUUUGUAUCCUGAGAUUUUGCUGAAGUUGCUUAUCAAUUCGACAAGUUUUUGGGCUGAGAUGAUGGGGUUUUGUAAAUAUAAAAUCAUGUCGUCUGCAAACAGCAACUUGACUUCCUCUCUUCCUAUUUGAAUACACUUUAUAAUGUAUUGUUGACCUGAAGAUGUUUAAACCAGGUAGGGGAUGGUUUGAGACCUUCCAUGGGUAACAACAGAACACCAAUAGGGAGGGAGGGAAAUGAAGAUACAUGAAAGAACAUAAGGCAAUUUCGGAAAACUCAGACAAGAAAAUGAGGUUUCAGGGCACAUCAACAUAGUACCUUAACUUGGAGGCAAGUCACCUGGAAAAUGUAGAAAGUUGGUAGUAUUUAUUAAGCAGAAUUUAUCCAAAUAGACAAAAAUCAAUCACAUCUUUAUGGAGACCCAACUUUAAGCAAUGCCUUGUGGUUUCAGAGAGGGCCCUGGUUUAAAAUAGGAGAAAAGCAUCUGGCACUCAAAAUGGGAUGGGAUAAGGGGCAGGAAAGGACACAGCCAGACUGACUGCACACUUCAGCCGAGGUAGCAGCCCUGUGGGCAAGGGGCCAGUCAGGGAGGGAGUAGUAAGGAUGGGCGCUGAGAGAUGGACCGUCAUCAUAAGCAGAAAGAAAGUAAGACACUGGAUGGGGAGAACACUGCGGGCAAAGGCCUGCUGGUGGAAAGGGGUCUGAGGUCUGCGUGUGGAGAGCAGGUGGGUUUGGCAGUAGUCAAGAGACUUGCAGAGGACAAUGUCUAGAAAGACACUGGGGUGUGAAUGGGAAAGGGUGGAAAUGUCUGCCUGAGAGUUGGGGCAUUAUGCAAAAGAGCCCAUCAAAGGCUUCUUAGCAGGGCUGUACCUUCGCCAAACCUGGACUCAGGAAGAUCAGCCUGGGGGUGGUGGGGGCAGGAGUCUUGGACUAUAUGCCAAAAGCCAGAGGGAGCCUGUACACAGCGAGGGCCAGGACACAAGACAAGGCAUCGCGAUUGGAAGGAAGAGAUGUGGCCCACAAGCUGUUGGGUGUCAGGUCUGAGGACUCAGCCUCUGGCUACACAGAACAGAGCAGCUCAGCUUGGGGUGAGGUUGUGAGAAAGCAGGGACAGGCGGCCGGGCGCGGUGGCUCACGCCU
rnacentral:lncRNA from 10 species